UACGUAGGGUGCAAGCAUUGUCCGGAAUUAUUGGGCGUAAAGAGCGCGUAGGCGGUCCGAUAAGUCGGCUGUGAAAGUCAGGGGCUCAACCCUUGAAAGCCGGCCGAUACUGUCGGACUAGAGUCCGGAAGAGGCAAGUGGAAUUCCCGGUGUAGCGGUGAAAUGCGCAGAUAUCGGGAAGAACACCCGUGGCGAAGGCGGUUCUCUGGGACGGUACUGACGCUGAGACGCGAAAGCGUGGGGAGCGAACAGG
rnacentral:rRNA from 1 species